rnacentral:snRNA from 1 species
AUUGCUUGUCAGCCUUUUGGCUAAGAUCAAGCGUAGUAUCUUUUCUUAUUGGUUUAGUAUCUCAUACGUCCUUUAUCCAAAACAUAUUGGCUGUUUACUGGAAGAUCUAAAGUCAUU